ACAAUGAAGCACGCGUGGCAAAAGCAGGUGGUCCGUUGUUUUUUGUGCUCUUGGUUGUGGCUUUUUUUUUGUGAGAGCUUUUGUGUGUGUGUGUGUGUGUGUGUGUGUGUAAACCUCGCUUUGUUGGCCUUUUUACUCGGUCCUCACUGUGCCACAAGUGCAGGAAUGUGAAUAUGUGUGUGUGUGUGUGUGUGUGUAAACCUGAGGCCUUGUGGAACACCGCACAUCUUCUGACUGGCCCCUCUGUAGUUUCCUCCGCCCUUUGGGUCUCAGCGCGGCCAGAGAAACAUCUCC